rnacentral:rRNA from 1 species
UACGUAGGGGGCAAGCGUUGUCCGGAUUUAUUGGGCGUAAAGAGCGUGUAGGCGGCCAGACAGGUCCGUUGUGAAAACUCGAGGCUCAACCUCGAGAUGUCGAUGGAAACCGUCUGGCUAGAGUCCGGAAGAGGAGUGUGGAAUUCCUGGUGUAGCGGUGAAAUGCGCAGAUAUCAGGAAGAACACCUAUGGCGAAGGCAGCACUCUGGGGACGGUACUGACGCUGAGACGCGAAAGCGUGGGGAGCAAACGGG